UACGGAGGGUGCGAGCGUUGUUCGGAAUCACUGGGCGUAAAGGGCGUGUAGGCGGUCCGCUAAGUCUGGUGUGAAAGCCCGGGGCUCACCCCCGGAAGGGCAUUGGAAACUGGCGGACUCGAGUCCCGGAGAGGAAGGUGGAAUUCCUGGUGUAGCGGUGAAAUGCGUAGAUAUCAGGAGGAAUACCGGUGGCGAAGGCGGCUUACUGGUCCGGUUCUGACGCUGAGGCGCGAAGGCCAGGGGAGCAAACGGG
rnacentral:rRNA from 1 species